rnacentral:tRNA from 1 species
GGAAAUGUGCCUGAAAUCAAAGGGUCAUCAUGAUAAGAUGACUAUAGAGGUACACUAACCCUCUCAUUUCCU